GAUGAAGAACGUAGCGAAAUGCGAUAAGUAGUGUGAAUUGCAUAAUUCAGUGAAUCAUCGAAUCUUUGAACGCACAUUGCGCCCUUUGGUAUUCCUUAGGGCAUGCCUGUUCGAGCGUCAUUUAAACCUUCAAGCUAAGCUUGGUGUUGGGUGACUGUCCGCCUCACGGCGGACUCGCCUCAAAAUUAUUGGCGGCCGGUACAUUGGCUUCGAGCGCAGCAGAAACGCGAACUCGGGCCCGUCGUAUUGGCUCCCAGAAGCUAUCUUCACAAUUUUGACCUCGGAUCAGGUAGGGAUACCCGCUGAACUUAAGCAUAUCAAUAAGCGGAGGA
rnacentral:misc_RNA from 1 species